rnacentral:rRNA from 1 species
GAUGAACGCUGGCGGCGUGCCUAAUACAUGCAAGUCGAGCGAAUGGAUUGAGAGCUUGCUCUUAUGAAGUUAGCGGCGGACGGGUGAGUAACACGUGGGUAACCUGCCCACAAGACUGGGAUAACUCCGGGAAACCGGGGCUAAUACCGGAUAACAUUUUGAACCGCAUGGUUCGAAAUUGAAAGGCGGCUUCGGCUGUCACUUUUGGAUGGACCCGCGUCGCAUUAGCUAGUUGGUGAGGUAACGGCUCACCAAGGCAACGAUGCGUAGCCGACCUGAGAGGGUGAUCGGCCACCCUGGGACUGAGACACGGCCCAGACUCCUACGGGAGGCAGCAGUAGGGAAUCUUCCGCAAUGGACGAAAGUCUGACGGAGCAACGCCGCGUGAGUGAUGAAGGCUUUCGGGUCGUAAAACUCUGUUGUUAGGGAAGAACAAGUGCUAGUUGAAUAAGCUGGCACCUUGACGGUACCUAACCAGAAAGCCACGGCUAACUACGUGCCAGCCGCCGCGGUAA